CUGAGAAGACCCUCUCUUUUGGUUUAUAGUCAUUCACAUAGAAGAUCUGGUGGACUCUAAAACACCUUUCAUAGAUAUCCUUCACAAUCCAGCC
rfam:Otolemur garnettii contig189636, whole genome shotgun sequence.